ACCGUCUUGCGAUUUGAAAAUCCAAGUUUUCGUUAAAGCUUCUUCCUCGUAUUCGUUCCAUGCAGUAGUUCUUUUUUUUCUUGGAUCUUUUGUUUUUUUUUUUGCCUUCGACGAGUUGGUUGUUGUGUUUAUUGGACCCGUUCGUCGUCGUCGUCAUUGUCAAGAUUUAUAGGUUGAGAUUGAGAUAAUGAGACUUGAGAUGGUUGAAAUUGUUGAGGUAUAAAAGAAGGUUGUUGAAAUUGUUGAGAAAAUUGUUGAAAUUGUUGAGAAGGUUGUUGUUGAAAUGCUUGGAAUUGGGGUUGAUUGAAUUGUUGUGGUUGUUGUUGGUAGAAGUUUGAGGGGUAUGAAGUGGUGAAUAAAGGUUGUUGGAUUGGAGAGGUUAACAAUUUCAUGUAGGUUGUAGCUAACAUUUGCAUUUGGAUUGUUUGAGGUAUUUUGAUUUGAAUCCAUGUAGAGAGAAAAAUAUAUAUAUAUAUGAGAGAGAUGAGUGUUUUUUUUAGAUCGUAAUAAAAUGUAGAGAGUGUUUUUUGAAGUGUAAAUUGUAAAUAAAAUAGUAGGUAAUUUAUAGAUGAAGUUGAGUUUGUUUAAAUUUUAAAAAAUAAUUUUUUUUAAUUGUUUAAUCGGUCAAAAGACCGUUCCCCACCAAAAUUCAGUUGUUGCAAAAAGGAGGUUUCCUAUUCGUCGUCUCAUCCCGUCUCCGGAGCCACGUCACGCGCACCCCACCGAACCUGGGGGCGGUGUUCACCCAUGUGAAGGCGCACCACAUAAGCCCAAGACACGUGAAAAUCGCUCCUUACCGGUUAGCCUUACGGAGAAAAGUUUGCACCUUUAAGACAGCUACACACAUAAAUGAAUGUUAGGUAAAACCGUCAAAUGUUUACAAAUUUAAGGACCUUUCCUAUCAUUUUUUCAUAAAAUAGUCACAUAUGUCGUCGCUUGUUUUUUAAUCGGAGAAAGGGGCUGGAAAUCACAUCAGAUUUGUCUCAGCACGGAUCAAAAUCGAUCGAUCGAUCCCUUUGAAUCUUUUUGCGGGAAAGAAAAAGGCGAAAAUGGGUUAUACAAAGGGUCUAUUGUCGGUGAUAACAAGAGACGGGGAGCCUUUGGUGAAGAAAUUGGCUGCGGUUUCUGUCUUCGGGGUGCUCCCUGGAGCCAUGAUCGCUUCUCUUAUCUAUUCUCCUCCCGAUUUCAUCUACAACGAGAAGAACUCUUCUUCUAAAGUUCUCAAAUAGAGAUCUUUCUAGAGAUUACUUUUGUAGAAAUUUGCAUGGCGGAAGUUUGAACCACAAUAACCCUAAUGAUCUAUUAUGUGUUAGCCGUAUUCCGGUUAAAGCCAUUGGGAAAUUUAGUUUUGAUGUUUUAAGCUCAUUUGUUUAUGUUUUAGCAUACUCUUUUCUUUAUUCACUCUCUUUUAAUUAUUAAUUAGUGCAACAAAGUGUUAAAGCUUUUACCUUCA